GGUGAAAAGUGUUUGUCUCUGGAGUUCAGCUCAUAGAUUGAAGCUUGGAGAAUGUCAAAUGGAGGUUGAAUUGUGCUCAACUAGUUUUGAUUUAGAUAUAUGAAGAUAGAAAGGAGGGAGUGUUACCCGGAUGGCGCCAUUGUCUGACAGGUUCAGUUAUAUGCGCAGCUCACAAGUGCUCAAAAAGGCUGCAAGAUGCCUAGCUAGCAACUGCUCCAACCAGUUUGAAGGAAGAAAGGGUGUAUUUCUCCGCAGGUUUCCUCAAGACCCAGAUGUGUACAGCGAAAGGACUGGCGCAUUCAGGUGAAGAUGGAUUGGUGGCAACAUUUGUCGGAAGGGGGCAAGCUUGGCCAUGCGGCACACUUCAUGAUGAGGGCUCCUUCGAUUGCACAGACCAGCUAUGGUGCAGUCCCAUCAGGUCUUUCUUCCCUGCUCACCUGCAGGACCAUUUCAAUAGCUGCCAGAGCUGCGGGGGCUGAAGCAAAGGCUAGAAAAAGCUGCGACCAGGACGUUGGCCUGUUCCAAGCAGUCUCGAAACGCACACAAGAACGGGAAAAUGUCGAUCCGGACAGCACGCCUCAGGGAGCGUCACUCGUCAGAGGCGGUCUCGACGGGCAGGCCGGGCGGUGCCCAGGGAACAGCGUCACCCGUCUGUGGCUGCCCCGAUGGACAGGCCGGGCGGCACUCCGGCAGCAGCUGCAUCCCUCUGUAGCGGCCCCGACAGCAGGCCGGGCGGCACCUUGGGAGCAGUGGCACACGUUUAUGUGUGGGGUGGCCCCGACGGCAGACCGGGCAACAGAGGCAGUGUACAGGGAAUAGCGGCACCCGUCUAUGGUGGCCCCGACGGCAGGUCGGACACCGAGGCGGCUCCCAGGGAGCAGCGGCACCCGUCUGUGGCGGCAUCGACGGCAGGACGGGCGGUGCUGAUGUAGUAGCGUCUAGUUUGCUGAUAAACGUUAGCGAUAUAGGCAUCAUCCUACCCUGCGUUCGAUGUCUCUCGGACGGCGAAGAUUCUACGCUGUCCGGCCAAUCACGUUCCAAAACCGCAGCCGAGCCUCCGCUGACCUUGAACGGGAUUGGCCGGACGGCGUAGAAUCUUCGCCGUCCGAGAGACAUCGAACGCGGGGCUAGUCACCAUGCUCAGGCGCGUCGAUGAUAUGCUUGUGCUGGGAUAAGGUCAACCUAGAAUUCUGACCUUACGUCAAAGUCAGGUCAGCCUCUCCGACUCUGGCUUCGUGACGUAAUCUAUGUCGCUAAAGUAAACGGUGCAAAAGUUAAAAAUUGGUUUACAAGAUGUGUAUACUAUUAACUAUUAUCUCAUGGUUUCGUGUGUUUGCAUGAUAUUCAAUCAUUUUUCGGCACCAAAAUAGCAGUUACCACCUUUCCCCAUUGACUUGUGAUGGCGAUGUCACGUGACUGACCUGACCUCAGGUGACCAUCAGGAAAAAUAUUAGAAUAUACAAGCUAUAAGGUCUCUGGAGGGUACAAGGUUCUGUUAGUUUGAUCUCCCUGUGAAAGCUCUUCUGGCACUGAAGGCAUUGCGAAGUUGCGGCAUGUCAUGACCGCGCGGUGGCUUUAUUAUGACGUCAUAGGUCAGUGACCGGGCAUGACCUGAAAGGGUGAUUAGUGUCAUAAGAUCCGGAUUUAAUGAAAGGUCAGUUGUACCAACUUUCAGCUCUCUGAGGCCAGCGCGUACCGAACAAGCACGAGUAAACCGUCUGGGAACAAGGGGUGACUAGUCCCUUGCUGCGGUACGGUACGAUGAUAAAAAAUUGAUUUCAAAUACAUUUGGUGAUGCUA